AUUGGCACCAGGAUAUUCCUUCCUUAACUGCUGAAGCUGCUAAGGAGCACCCUGGUGUGUCUUAUAUCAUAACUGCACCUCUUGGCCUGCAUGAGUUACUAGUGGAUGUUGUGAAUGAUAGGAUCAAACACUGCUUAAACCAAGUGGCGGGGGGUGCAGAAGNNNNNNGCAGCAUGUGCUGGAACAGGCAAAUGCAAGCUCUCUUAGUCUGUGCAAUUGCAAAUUGAAG
rnacentral:misc_RNA from 1 species